GACGAACGCUGGCGGCGUGCCUAAUACAUGCAAGUCGAACGCAGUGGGGACGGGUGAGUAACACGUGGGUAACCUCCCAUCAGAGGGGAUAACACUUGGAAACAGGUGCUAAACCGAUAAGGAUGGAUGGAACCGCGGUGCAUUAGCUAGUUGGUGGGGUAACGGCUCACAAAGGCCACGAUGCAUAAACGACAUGUGAGGGUGUUCGGCCACACGGGGACUGAGACACGGCCCAGACUCCUACGGGAGGCAGCAGUAGGGAAUCUUCGGCAAUGGACGAAAGUCUGACCGAGCAACGCCGCGUGAGUGAAGAAGGUUUUCGGAUCGUAAAACUCUUUUGUUAGAGAAGCGGUAUCUAACCAGAAAGCCACGGCUAACUACGUGCCAGCCGCCGCGGUAAUAC
rnacentral:rRNA from 1 species